UGGGGAAUAUUGCACAAUGGGCGCAAGCCUGAUGCAGCCAUGCCGCGUGUAUGAAGAAGGCCUUCGGGUUGUAAAGUACUUUCAGCGGGGAGGAAGGCGAUAAGGUUAAUAACCUUGUCGAUUGACGUUACCCGCAGAAGAAGCACCGGCUAACUCCGUGCCAGCAGCCGCGGUAAUACGGAGGGUGCAAGCGUUAAUCGGAAUUACUGGGCGUAAAGCGCACGCAGGCGGUCUGUCAAGUCGGAUGUGAAAUCCCCGGGCUCAACCUGGGAACUGCAUUCGAAACUGGCAUGCUAGAGUCUUGUAGAGGGGGGUAGAAUUCCAGGUGUAGCGGUGAAAUGCGUAGAGAUCUGGAGGAAUACCGGUGGCGAAGGCGGCCCCCUGGACAAAGACUGACGCUCAGGUGCGAAAGCGUGGGGAGCAAACA
rnacentral:rRNA from 1 species